rnacentral:rRNA from 1 species
CGUGUGUGAAGAAGGCCUGAGGGUUGUAAAGCACUUUCAAUGGGGAAGAAAUGGCAACGGCUAAUAUCCGUUGUUGAUGACGGUACCCGCAUAAGAAGCACCGGCUAACUACGUGCCAGCAGCCGCGGUAAUACGUAGGGUGCGAGCGUUAAUCGGAAUUACUGGGCGUAAAGCGUGCGCAGGCGGUUUCGUAAGACAGACGUGAAAUCCCCGGGCUCAACCUGGGAACUGCGUUUGUGACUGCGAGGCUAGAGUACGGCAGAGGGGGGUAGAAUUCCACGUGUAGCAGUGAAAUGCGUAGAGAUGUGGAGGAAUACCGAUGGCGAAGGCAGCCCCCUGGGUUAGUACUGACGCUCAUGCACGAAAGCGUGGGGAGCAAACAGGAUUAGAUACCCUGGUAGUCCACGCCCUAAACGAUGUCAACUAGGUGUUGGAAGGGUUAAACCUUUUAGUACCGCAGCUAACGCGUGAAGUUGACCGCCUGGGGAGUACGGCCGCAA